rnacentral:rRNA from 1 species
ACCCGCUGAACUUAAGCAUAUCAAUAAGCGGAGGAAUAGAAACCAACAGGGAUUGCCCUAGUAACGGCGAGUGAAGCGGCAACAGCUCAAAUUUGAAAUCUGGCGCAAGCCCGAGUUGUAAUUUGUAGAGGAUGUUUCUGGCGACGCGCCUUCCGAGUUCCCUGGAACGGGACGCCAUAGAGGGUGAGAGCCCCGUACGGUUGGAUGCCUAGCCUCUGUGAAACUCCUUCGACGAGUCGAGUAGUUUGGGAAUGGCUGCUCUAAAUGGGAGGUAUACGUCUUCUAAAGCUAAAUACCGGCCAGAGACCGAUAGCGCACAAGUAGAGUGAUCGAAAGAUGAAAAGCACUUUGAAAAGAGGGUUAAAAAGUACGUGAAAUUGUUGAAAGGGAAGCGUUCAUGACCAGACUUGGGCAGGUUGAUCAUCCGUGGUUCUCCGCGGUGCACUCUGCCUGCCCAGGCCAGCAUCAGUUCGCUCCGGGGGAUAAAGGCUCUGGGAAUGUGGCUCCUUCAGGAGUGUUAUAGCCCACUGUGUAAUACCCUGGGGUGGACUGAGGUUCGCGCUCUGCAAGGAUGCUGGCGUAAUGGUCAUCAACGACCCGUCUUGAAACACGGACC